GUAAGCUCCACCCCCCUGCAGGCUUCAGUAGCUGAAUUUAACUUUCUCGAUGUCGGCGAUCAGAUUCCUGGCCAGGUAGAUCCCCACCAUCUGCUCAGAGACACAUCAGCAAAACAUGACAUCAUCAAAAUACCCUGGAGGGAUGAGGCUGAUGACUGAUCCUCAGGCAGCACUGCAUUAAAAACCGACAUAAUUCUGUGAUGGAAACCAGUCACCCUGCACAUCUGGAAAGGCUCCAUCAGUGCAGAAAGGUACAAACAGGUUCUAGAGCCACAUCUGCUCCAUCCAGAUGUGUUCUUCAGGAAGGCCUUCAUGUCCGAUCAGGACCAUGCUAAACUGCAUCUAUUCCAUCAGCACGGCUCUGCAGAAGAAGAGUCCGGCUGCUGAACCGGCCCGAAUGCAGUUCAGAGCUUUUACACCAACAACAGGAUGAAGCCAGAGCCAGA